rnacentral:rRNA from 1 species
AUUGAACGCUGGCGGCAGGCCUAACACAUGCAAGUCGAGCGGAUGAAGGGAGCUUGCUCCUGGAUUCAGCGGCGGACGGGUGAGUAAUGCCUAGGAAUCUGCCUGGUAGUGGGGGAUAACGUCCGGAAACGGGCGCUAAUACCGCAUACGUCCUGAGGGAGAAAGUGGGGGAUCUUCGGACCUCACGCUAUCAGAUGAGCCUAGGUCGGAUUAGCUAGUUGGUGGGGUAAAGGCCUACCAAGGCGACGAUCCGUAACUGGUCUGAGAGGAUGAUCGGUCACACUGGAACUGAGACACGGUCCAGACUCCUACGGGAGGCAGCAGUGGGGAAUAUUGGACAAUGGGCGAAAGCCUGAUCCAGCCAUGCCGCGUGUGUGAAGAAGGUCUUCGGAUUGUAAAGCCCUUUAAGUUGGGAGGAAGGGCAGUAAGUUAAUACCUUGCUGUUUUGACGUUACCAACAGAAGAAGCACCGGCUAACUUCGUG